ACACACCUAUCAUCAGUUACAUUUCACACCGAUGUUUGCUGCAGCUCCCCCUUGCCCUGCAGUCAGAUUCAGUUUUUGUUUUCUUAUCCUACCAUUUUAAAGCUUUGUUAAUGUCAUCAAAGAAACCAACUGUUGUCAACUUCAAGCAUCCAAGUAAAUAACAAUGAGAAAAAUUUCAUAUUACAUGCUUUGAUCAUUCCAAAGUUCUCAGGUUUUCCCAUGGGAUUUAAUGCUACUCCUAAACGAGGUUACCAUUUGUACUGCAGUAAGAAUCCUCAUUAAUUGAAUCUUGUAACACUGGUGAAUUCAGGGAUUUGCAUCAUUAUGUAAUAUGUAUCUUUGCCCCAGGAAAUUAAGACAAUCAGUUUAGUCAUAGGAAGGAUGCACUCCGUUCUCUGGAGAAACUCCAAGUAGGUCAGGCUGUGGGGCCAGCAGCCCGUUCUGUACUGCCAAGCAUGGAAUCAAUGACUUUUGUUGCGUCCUUCCCACAUUAGGUAUUUUCUUAUGUUCAAACAUUUGCCUGCAUGAAGAGCUGCAUUCUGCUCUCUUGGGCUGAACUGGCAGGGAUGAAUGAGAACAGUACCUAGCCCAAAAACUGUGCUAACAGGCUUCUAUUUCAGUUUUAUAUGCAAGGACUACAGCUCAUGUAACGUAAGAGGGUUGCCUCUUCUAUUGGGCGAGAAUUCUAUUGGGCACGAAUUAUAUCAUCGAAAGCAUAUUUUUCUGCCCACUUAGCAAAAUAAUUCACAUUUCAAAUACAGCUUUAGCAGAAUUAAUUUAGUUUAAAAAAGGGCAACAGAAUGACCUGGCGUUAAUAUCCAGCAGCCCAAGGGAAUAGCAAUCAAGCAAUUAGUGAGAAUUAUGGGCCAGGUUCUGAGAAAUCUUCAGGCUUUCCAGAAAAAGGAUGCCUCUUAAUACUAUAAACCUCCUACUAUUGGGAGCCUACGUGCUAGCUAGCCUAGAGCCCUCCUUCCCAGGUUAUUCCUGUGACAAGCAGGAUGGGAAUGGCAUGGGGUUGUUGGGGGAGGAAUUAUGUGGAUCUGGUUCAGGAUACACAUGCAUUGAGAUGCCCCAAAUGGUCUGUGUGCCAGUCCUUAAGCCCAUGUCUCAGAGCACUCCUCAGUGGCUCCACUUGAAGGACUAGUGUAAUAGCCUCCUUAGGUCUCAGUGGAGCCAGGAUCAGGGCAAAAAAAGCUUGGUUUGUCUGACCCUCUUUGACCAUGGCUGUUUGGAGGUGUAUUUAGAUACAGCCCUUUGCCUUCAAAAUAACCCUAAGUGCCCAUAAAAAGGGGAUUGCAGGGUUCUGCAUUAAUCAUCUUGAAGGCACCAUAUCCAAUCUGUUCAGAUUACAACUAAAAUAUAGCCAGCCGUAAGUAUCCUUAGUUAACAAUUCUAGUGCUGAUGUGUGAGCCAGACUGGAAUCCAAGCUCGUCUCUGUAAUUACAUUGGCUCUGCAAAAACAACAGGAGGCAAAAAGUAGCAACAUCUUAGUGUAGGCAAUACAGUCAGCAGGCAGGCCUCUAUCCCAGUGGAACACAGCUGUCAUGGAGGUUCAUUGAUCAAAAUUUGGUCUUUGAUGUAGUUGGGGCUUGAUCCAUUAAUUGCUUGAAAAUUAGGAUGAAGGUCUUAAACUGGCAUCAAGAGCGAUCUGGGAGCUAAUGGAGGGACUUGAGAAGAAAUGCACGGAUCACUGUAGCCAGUCCUCAUCUGGGAGGAAGUUGCCUAAUAAGCUGGGGGUAAAAGGAGGCAUUUUCAGAUGUUGAUGCUUUCUGGCCAUCCAAGCUCAGUGAGGAGUCAGACAGGACCCCAAAGCUUCAUCCCACUCUGGUGAAUGGGGCCUGUGUGCCUUCUGUGGAAGGUGGAAACAACAUCUUGGUCAUUUCGUUAAAGGGUUUCUCCUUUCCAACCAGCAUCAGUUCAGUCUUGCCUGGCUUGAGCAUGAAGAUUGCUCUUAAUCCAAGAGCUGAUUGCUUCUAGGUAUUCUGACAUUUUAGUAGUGAAGGUGGUUACAUCAGAAUAGAACUGUGUUUUAAACAGUCCUCUAAGCCCUGGUCUACACUAGGAGUUUAGGUCGAAUUUAGCAGCGUUAAAUCGAUGUAAACCUGCACCCGUCCAGACGAUGAAGCCCUUUUUUCGACUUAAAGGGCUCUUAAAAUCGAUUUCCUUAAUCCACUUCUGACAAGUGGAUUAGCGCUUAAAUUGGCCUUGCCGGAUCAAAUUUGGGGUACUGUGGACGCAAUUAGAUGGUAUUGGCCUCCAGGAGCUAUCCCAGAGUGCUUUAUUGUGACCGCUCUGGACAGCACUCUCAACUCAGAUGCACUGGCCAGGUAGACAGGAAAAGGCCAGCAAACUUUUGAAUUUCAAUUUCCUGUUUGCAUGGUCACCUGCAGUUUGCCACGCUGGCCAGAGCUCAUCAGCAGAGGUGACCAUGAUGGAGUCCCAGUAUCGCAAAAGAGCUCCAGCAUGGACCGAACGGGAGGUACGGGAUCUGAUCGCUGUAUGGAGAGAGGAAUCCGUGCUAUCAGAACUCCGUUCCAGUUUUCAAAAUGCCAAAACAUUUGUCAAAAUCUCCCAAGGCAUAAAGGACAGAGGCCAUAACAGGGACUGAAGCAAUGCCGCGUGAAACUUAAGGAGCUGAGGCAAGCCUACCAGAGAGGCAAACUGCCGCUCCAGGAUCUUCUCCUUCCCAGAGGCUAGUGAAGAUUAGAAGGCGAAAAAAACGCACUCGUGAUGAAAUAUUCUCGGAGCUCAUGCUGUCCUCCCACACUGACAUAGCACAGACGAAUGCGUGGAGGCAGACAAUGUCAGAGUGCAGGAAAGCACAAAAUGACCGGGAGGAGAGGUGGCGGGCUGAAGAGAGGGCUGAAACUCAAAUGUGGCGGAAGCGUGAUGAGAGGAGGCAGGAUUCAAUGCUGAGGCUGCUGGAGGAUCAAACCAAUAUGCUCCAGCGUAUGGUUGAGCUGCAGGAAAGGCAGCGGGAGCACAGACUGCUGCUAUAGCCCCUGUGUAACCAACCGCCCUCCUCCCCAAGUUCCAUAGCCUCCUCACCCAGACGCCCAAGAAUGCGGUUGGGGGGUCUCCGGCCACUCCACCCCAGAGGAUUGCCCAAGCAACAGAAGGCUGGCAUUCAAUAAGUUUUAAAGUUUUAAACUUUUAAAGUGCUGUGUGGUCUUGUCCUUCCCUCCUCCACCACCCCUCCUGGUGCUUCUCUCCUCCACUACCCCUCCUGGGCUACCUUGGUAGUUAUCCCCCUAUUUGUGUGAUGAAUGAAUAAAGAAUGCAUGAAUGUGAAGCAACAA